CGUUCCCGGGUCUUGUACACACCGCCCGUCACACCAUGGGAGCGGGUUUUGCCAGAAGUAGGUAGCUUAACCGUAAGGGGGGCGCUUACCACGGCAGGAUUCGUGACUGGGGUG
rnacentral:rRNA from 1 species